rnacentral:lncRNA from 1 species
AUUAAGGCCAACCCCAGAGGCCCUGGCAAGGCUGACUGCUGUUAAAACUGGACUGUUCUCCUUCUGGUUCCUGGUUCAUUCUAGGUGCUGACAUUGUGUGGAAGAACUUUCCCGGACAUCCCUUUUAAUUCUCAGAAGCAGGCCACAAGGUAGGACGCCUGCCACAGCAUGGCUUGAUGAGUGGUGCCAUGUCUGUACCCAGGAUCCGAACCGGGAUCCGAACCGGUGAACCCCAGGCCGCCGAAGCAGAACGUGUACACUUAACCGCUGCGCCACCGGGCUGGCCCCUUUUCUUCUUGAAGGUAGCAAAUAAUGGCAACUGAUUAAAGUAGUCCAUAGUUCAUUACAUUUUUCCUUUUUAAAAAAUGGGAAUAGUUGUUCAAAGAAGACGCUUUAACCAUGAACGAAAGCUGAAUGUAAGCGGUGCAGUGUGAAAUCCCCAGUGCGCACGGCAAGCCUUUUGCUCCACCACCCAGAGCAGCAGGGCGCAGGGGGAUUUGUAUGUCAGGGAUAUCCACUAUCAGUGAUCCAGUGGGUAGCAGCUUUCCUUGCCUAAGACACAGAUGAUCCAUAAAUAUUUGUUGACAUUUUAUUCAUUCAACAAAUAUGUGCUGAGUGCCUCAUCUGUGUCAAUCAAGGAGUUGGGUGGUUGGGAUACAAAGAUGAAUCAAGCAGAGCCUCUGUGUGCUGCAUCCUGGGUAAUCAAUGCUUCACGAAAGGGGCAAAGGGUACUCUGGGAGCACGAAGGAGGGAAGGAUCAGUUCUAGCUACGGUGGCCAUGAAAUCUGGGAAUGUAGAUAUAUUAUUUCAUCCGUAUUUUAAUAUAAUUCCAAC